GAUGAAGAACGUAGCGAAAUGCGAUACGUAAUGUGAAUUGCAGAAUUCAGUGAAUCAUCGAAUCUUUGAACGCAUAUUGCGCUCUCUGGUAUUCCGGAGAGCAUGCUUGUUUGAGUAUCAGUAAACUCCUCAACUCCCUUUCUUCUUGAAAUGGAGCUGGACUUGAGUGAUCCCAACGCUUUAUUCAUAAAGUGGCGGGUUACUUGAAAUGCAGGUGCAGCUGGACUUUUCUCUGAGCUAUAAGCAUAUCUAUUUAGUCUGCCUCAAAACAGAUUAUUACCUUUGCUGCAGCUAACAUAAAGGAGAUUAGUUCUUGUGCUGACUGAUGCAGGAUUCACAAAGACCGCUUCGGCUGUCUUUGUAAACUCGAUCUCAAAUCAAGUAAGACUACCCGCUGAACUUAAGCAUAUCAAUAAGCGGAGGA
rnacentral:misc_RNA from 1 species